rnacentral:rRNA from 1 species
GAUGAACGCUGGCGGCGUGCUUAACACAUGCAAGUCGAACGGAAAGGCCCAAGCUUUCUUGGGUACUCGAUUGCCGAACGGGUGAGUAACACGCGUGUGAUCUGCCCUUCACUUCCGGAGAUGCCUUGGAAACUCCGUCUAAUACCGGAUAGGACCACUUCUUGGAUGUUGUGGUGGAAAGAUUUUUCGGUUUGGGAUGAGCUCUCGGCCUAUCAGCUUGUUGGUGGGGUAAUGGCCUACCAAGGCGUCGCCGGGUAGCCGGCCCGAGAGGGUGUACGGCGACAUUGGGACUGAGGGACGGCACAGACUCCGACGGGAGGGAGCAGUGGGGAAUAUUGAACAAUGGGCGCCAGCCUGAUGCAGCGACGCCGCGUGGGGGAUGACGGUCUUCGGGUUGUAAACUAAAUUCGCUAGGGACGAAGCGCUUUGUGACGGUACCUGGAGAAGAAGCACCGGCUAACUACGUG